rnacentral:rRNA from 1 species
GAUGAACGCUGGCGGCGUGCUUAACACAUGCAAGUCGAACGAAGCAUUUAAGACAGAUUACUUCGGUUUGAAGUCUUUUAUGACUGAGUGGCGGACGGGUGAGUAACGCGUGGGUAACCUGCCUCAUACAGGGGGAUAGCAGCUGGAAACGGCUGGUAAUACCGCAUAAGCGCACAGUACCACAUGGUACAGUGUGAAAAACUCCGGUGGUAUGAGAUGGACCCGCGUCUGAUUAGCUUGUUGGCGGGGUAACGGCCCACCAAGGCGACGAUCAGUAGCCGACCUGAGAGGGUGACCGGCCACAUUGGGACUGAGCCACGGCCCAGACUCCUACGGGAGGCAGCAGUGGGGAAUAUUGCACAAUGGAGGAAACUCUGAUGCAGCGACGCCGCGUGAGUGAAGAAGUAGUUCGCUAUGUAAAGCUCUAUCAGCAGGGAAGAUAGUGACGGUACCUGACUAAGAAGCUCCGGCUAAAUACGUG